AUUGAACGCUAGCGGGAUGCCUUACACAUGCAAGUCGAACGGCAGCACGGACUUCGGUCUGGUGGCGAGUGGCGAACGGGUGAGUAAUGUAUCGGAACGUGCCUAGUAGCGGGGGAUAACUACGCGAAAGCGUAGCUAAUACCGCAUACGCCCUACGGGGGAAAGCAGGGGAUCGCAAGACCUUGCACUAUUAGAGCGGCCGAUAUCGGAUUAGCUAGUUGGUGGGGUAACGGCUCACCAAGGCGACGAUCCGUAGCUGGUUUGAGAGGACGACCAGCCACACUGGGACUGAGACACGGCCCAGACUCCUACGGGAGGCAGCAGUGGGGAAUUUUGGACAAUGGGGGAAACCCUGAUCCAGCCAUCCCGCGUGUGCGAUGAAGGCCUUCGGGUUGUAAAGCACUUUUGGCAGGAAAGAAACGUCAUGGGUUAAUACCCCGUGAAACUGACGGUACCUGCAGAAUAAGCACCGGCUAACUACGUGCCAGCAGCCGCGGUAAUACGUAGGGUGCAAGCGUUAAUCGGAAUUACUGGGCGUAAAGCGUGCGCAGGCGGUUCGGAAAGAAAGAUGUGAAAUCCCAGAGCUUAACUUUGGAACUGCAUUUUUAACUACCGAGCUAGAGUGUGUCAGAGGGAGGUGGAAUUCCGCGUGUAGCAGUGAAAUGCGUAGAUAUGCGGAGGAACACCGAUGGCGAAGGCAGCCUCCUGGGAUAACACUGACGCUCAUGUACGAAAGCGUGGGGAGCAAACAGG
rnacentral:rRNA from 1 species